AGGGGUGUAGUUUAAUUAGGUAGAAUAUUGGUCUCCAAAACCAAUGGUUGGGGGUUCAAAUCCCUCCGCCCCUG
rnacentral:tRNA from 1 species